rnacentral:lncRNA from 1 species
GGAGAGCAGAUUAUCUGCAAUCAGCUAUGUGGAUAGCACAGCAGUUAAAAUUACUGCAUUGGCAAAAAUUUAUAAGCUACUCUGCCGUGAGAUAGCCAAAGUCCUAGAGAAUUGGGACUCCGUGAUUGAAAAGGCCACUCACCCAAAUCAUGCUUGUUCCCAGUAAGGAGCAGCCCUUCAAAUGAUGAAGGUCCUUCUGAAGCAUCAGUGUUGGCAUCUGGGACACUUUUUCUAGAAAGAACUUGCUGUGUGAACUGCAAACACUUGGGGAAAUCUUUUCACAAGGAGGUUCUAAGAGCUGAAUAGGCAUUGAGGAGCUCCAGCCCUACUCUACUCCAGCCCUAUAACUUUCAAUCAUAACCAAACUUCCCAUGGCAAUGCUAUGGUAGGGCUUUUGAAGCAGUGGCUUUAGACCCACUUGUUUCACUGUGCUCUGGUCUUCUCAACUCUCUUGUCUUAGGAUCUUGCCAGCAACUGCCCUGUUUUUUUUGCCCUAUCUCUUAGGUCUGAUUCCUCACUCAUUCUUUGGGCUUGUAGACCCUCUUGGGCUUCCCCAGCUUGGACCAUUUCAGGCUGUCAUUUGUGACUUGCACCUACUCUCUUGUUCUUCCUACAUCUGUUCAUUUCAAUUAUCCACUCACCUGACCCACCUGUAGUUUCAUUUCCAGUUCCAGCGGCCCAGAAGGGAGGUGAGAUGUAGCAAAACGACAUCUUCAAGUCUCCUGAAUCCAAACACACCUGCCACAGUUAACCAUCAUGUACACCUAGGGACAAGUCUGUGUUCAGCCAUGUGCUGUGGAUCUGUACUUUGUAGGAAUUGAGAAUAUGUAUGAAUUUGAGGUUGAUAGCUAGGAGCCAGACAUGUGACUGCCAUGUCAAACAUUCUCAGCCUGCAGUUUCUUCUCUUCAAAGGCCACCCCAGAGGCAUGAAUGUUGGUUUGCAACAAGGAGAUUAUUUCAUAAAUAUUGCUCUUUGCCAAAUCCCCAGAGGCCCUUGAAGGUUGGGUGCUAAUAAAGCUUGAAUUAUUAUUAAGCAUGUGGUCUAUGUAGGUCAUUGCCAAGUACUGGCCUGAUGAAAAGUAAAGAAAAACAAAGCAAACACAAUAACCCCAGAUAGAGCAUGGAUGAGGAAGUGCAACCCCAUUCUCCAAAUAAGAAACACACCUGAAAUCUCUAAUAUGCUUCUUUAGAAGAAGGGGGGCGGCCAGCGAGGAAUAGUGUUGGUAGACUCAGCUUUAUCCUGUAGCUUUAGGUUUUCAGUUGCUGACACAUGUUGCAGUGUUUGGCUUUUAUUUUACCCAGCAACCCCAGAAAGGGGGUGCGGUAGGAGUAGCAAAAGGAAAUGCUCCAGGAAUUCAAGGUCUUGCCUGAAGGAAACCGCAGAUGCCUUAGUCAGAUUCUGCAUGGAGGCUCUUUUCCAGAUGUUCACAGGGAGAUGACCCAUGUCAAGCUUUCGGCCACUUGGGCAAGUUUCAGGAUUGUUCUUUAGGGAGAACCUCUUCCUGAGCAAUGAGGAACAUGUGCAUUUCCCAAGCAUCCUGUUGGGUGGUAACGUUCCCUUCCUUACCAAGGUGCUUCCAGCUGAAAGGGUGUCAGUGCAGGCAGGAGAGGCAGAUGAAUGGUCUGAGGCCUGGGGUUAGGCAUCUGGAGGAAGAUGGUGGGAUUGGAGGUAUCUGGGGGUUAUUGCUGGAUCCUAGAUUUGGAAAGAUGCUCUCGGGGAGAAGGCAGUAGAUCUACUUGUGCUAAUAUGGUCUCUGGCAAGAGGAUUCCAGGCUGCGUCAUCUCCUCUGACCCUAGCAGAGAAUGAGAAUCCUUAAGAAGAAAGCGUAGAAAGCACAGGAAGAGAGGAACUCAAGCUAAGCUGAAGGGAGGAGGGCAGAGCUGGGGGAGUUGUAGCACAGUGGAGACCACACCAAGCCCUAAGCAUUCUCCUUUUUUUUAAAGAAGCCUCAGCUAAUGUUUACUUCCUCCUGUUUUACAGAAUAUUUGAAGUGAACCUGUACCUUUAGUUUCAUUUACAUAUGAAAUAAACA